GACGAACGCUGGCGGCGUGCUUAACACAUGCAAGUCGAACGAAGAGCGACGGAAGCUUGCUUCUAUCAAUCUUAGUGGCGAACGGGUGAGUAACGCGUAAUCAACCUGCCCUUCAGAGGGGGACAACAGUUGGAAACGACUGCUAAUACCGCAUACGAUCUAAUCUCGGCAUCGAGGAUGGAUGAAAGGUGGCCUCUACAUGUAAGCUAUCACUGAAGGAGGGGAUUGCGUCUGAUUAGCUAGUUGGCGGGGUAACGGCCCACCAAGGCGAUGAUCAGUAGCCGGUCUGAGAGGAUGAACGGCCACAUUGGGACUGAGACACGGCCCAGACUCCUACGGGAGGCAGCAGUGGGGAAUCUUCCGCAAUGGACGAAAGUCUGACGGAGCAACGCCGCGUGAGUGAUGACGGCCUUCGGGUUGUAAAGCUCUGUUAAUCGGGACGAAAGGCCUUCUUGCGAAUAGUGAGAAGGAUUGACGGUACCGGAAUAGAAAGCCACGGCUAACUACGUG
rnacentral:rRNA from 1 species